AGGUGCGAUCAUACCUGCACUAAUGUACCGGAUCCCAUAAAAACUCUGCAAUCAACCAUGUGUGGGAGGGAGUAGUACUAGGAUCGGUGACCUCCUGGGAAAUCCUCGUGUUGCACCUC
rfam:Lupinus angustifolius cultivar Tanjil chromosome LG02, whole genome shotgun sequence.